UGGAGGCAGCAGUGAGGAAUAUUGGGCAAUGGGCGGAAGCCUGACCCAGCCACGCCGCGUGAGUGAUGAAGGCCUUCGGGUUGUAAAGCUCUGUGGGAAGGGGAGAAAAACUGCGACCUAACACGUCGCAGGUUGACGGUACCUUCUUAGCAAGCACCGGCUAACUCUGUGCCAGCAGCCGCGGUAAGACAGAGGGUGCAAACGUUGCUCGGAUUUACUGGGCGUAAAGCGCAUGUAGGCGGGACGAUAAGUCGGGUGUGAAAUCCCUGGGCUCAACCUAGGAACUGCAUCCGAAACUGCCGUCCUGGAGUGGUGGAGAGGAAAGCGGAAUUCCGGGUGUAGAGGUGAAAUUCGUAGAUAUCCGGAGGAACACCAGUGGCGAAGGCGGCUUUCUGGACACCAACUGACGCUGAGAUGCGAAAGCGUGGGGAGCAAACAGGAUUAGAUACCCCGGUAGC
rnacentral:rRNA from 1 species